rnacentral:rRNA from 1 species
GAUGAACGCUGGCGGCGUGCUUAACACAUGCAAGUCGAACGAAGCACUCUAUUUGAUUUUCUUCGGAAAUGAAGAUUUUGUGACUGAGUGGCGGACGGGUGAGUAACGCGUGGGUAACCUGCCUCAUACAGGGGGAUAACAGUUGGAAACGACUGCUAAUACCGCAUAAGCGCACAGGAUCGCAUGAUCCGGUGUGAAAAACUCCGGUGGUAUGGGAUGGACCCGCGUCUGAUUAGCCAGUUGGCAGGGUAACGGCCUACCAAAGCGACGAUCAGUAGCCGACCUGAGAGGGUGACCGGCCACAUUGGGACUGAGACACGGCCCAAACUCCUACGGGAGGCAGCAGUGGGGAAUAUUGCACAAUGGGGGAAACCCUGAUGCAGCGACGCCGCGUGAGCGAAGAAGUAUUUCGGUAUGUAAAGCUCUAUCAGCAGGGAAGAAGAAUGACGGUA